rnacentral:rRNA from 1 species
UACGUAGGGCGCAAGCGUUGUCCGGAAUUAUUGGGCGUAAAGAGCUCGUAGGCGGCCUGUCGCGUCUGCUGUGAAAUCCCGGGGCUUAACCCCGGGCGUGCAGUGGAUACGGGGCUGGCUGGAGGCAGGCAGGGGAGAAUGGAAUUCCCGGUGUAGCGGUGAAAUGCGCAGAUAUCGGGAGGAACGACCGGUGGCGAAGGCGGCUCUCUGGGACGGUACUGGACGCUGGAGACGGCGAAAGCGUGGGGAGCGAACGAGG